rnacentral:rRNA from 1 species
AUGUGUGUUCCAAAGAAGAAAGGUGGCAUGGGGUUUAGGGACCUUCACAGUUUUAACCUUGCUAUGUUAGCAAAACUGUGUUGGCGACUGCUCCAGAAUCCAAACUCUUUGUGUGCACGUGUUCUUAGUGCAAAAUAUUAUCCCAACGAAAACAUCUUGAAUGCGGGACCGAAGAAGGGCUCUUCUUACACUUCGCAGAGCAUUGUCUCGGGUAUCCAAACCUUUAAACGGGGUUGCAUAUAG